UAUAGGAGGCUAUAGAUGUCAUUCUAUUCCCCAGACUUAUUUUCAUUCCUUGCUGUACAGUGUUACAGUAUCUGUCCUGUUGCUGAUGAAAUCUCCUGUUGUGUUUUUUUCAGCUCCUGGAAAGCCGCUUCAUGUCAGCCAUGAAGUCAACGACCUUAUCUUUCAGCCUUGCGGGUCCUCGAAGGAGCUGAAGCAGUACGACAACAAGAUAAUUGAGUGGUCCUUUAACAACGACACCUGGGUGUUCAUGUGACACAGGGUGGACAAGAGCUUCCCCAACUCCUACAACACACUCUGUGUAACAGCAUCCAGCAUCCUGUCACAAAAGAAAACCUCUGAGUUUCUGGACCGCUGUGCCCUGGGGGCCCACAGACAGAACCGGAAACACCACCAUGACCCAGACACAGAGCUCAUGCCCCGUACUGCUCCAAAGACACCCAACUGGGCCAUACCAUACAGCGGAGGUGGGCCGGGCCAGUGUAGCAGUGUAUCUAUGUGGCUUGCAGAGCGAGGCCCUUCAUGGCUACAGCCCGCCCCCUUCCUCCCCCUCAGACACAGACAUUUGAAAAACCCCUCUUAUCUGUGACCAUUUGAUUAUCAGCCUCUUACAGGCCCUCUUAACUAAAACAUAUUGGAUUGAAUAACUCAUAGAUCCUGUUAGAUAUCCCCAUGUAGUGCCUUAUCUUUCAUUUCAGUGGUUCUUAUUAAAGAAAAAAUACAUAAUGGUGAAUUUAAUUUAUUUAUUCCCUUUUUUUAAAGGUCUCCUAACUAAUCUAUUGAUCAACAACAGAGGAAUUGGUGUUUUAACUACGGCAGCAACUGACUAUGUUUUUCCUAGCUGUUUAUUUGUAUUUGGGAUGGCGGUAAUCAGAUGGGAAACAACCACCUGACCCUUCCUUUCUAUCUUUUCUCUCCCAGCAGUGAAGUGAAGGAAUGCACUAGGGAGUAUUUCAAAGGUAUUGUUUAGUAGCAAGAGAGAGCUAUUCCUCUGAGAUAUUCUUCUGACACACAGUGAUAUAUCGGGUUGACAACAUGAAUAACCAUGACAAGAUGUCUCCACAGUAUGUGUGCAACAAACACACUCUGCCUCCACGUGACGUCACAUGACCAUAUCGUCAGACCCCAGAAUAGACUCGGUAACCGCUUGGGAAAUGUCAUGAUGGAAACAUGCCUCUCCUUUGUUUUUUCUUCAAUGUGUGUACAGAAUAAUAACAUUUCAACACUUGCUUUAUUUGAACAGAUACCCCAAUUAAGGACUGCCCUAGUUCAUAACAGACUGGUUUACUCCUGCAUUUGUUGUUUGAUUGGAUCCAUUAAAACAAUACAUCAUGUGAAAGGGAAGGUACAGUGGUAAGAAAAAGUAUGUGAACCAUUUGGAAUUUCUGCAUAAAUUGGUAAUCAAAUUUGAUCUGAUCUUCAUCUAAGUCACAACGAUAGACAAAUAUAGUAUGCUUAAACUAAUAACACACAAAUUAUUGUAUUUUUCUUGUCUAUAUUGAAUACAUAGUUUAAACAUUCAUAUUCACACAAAAAGUAUGUGAACCCCUAGGCUAAUGACUUCUCCAAAAGCUAAUUGGAGUCAGGAGUCAGCUAACCUGGAGGCCAAUCAAUGAGACAAGAUUGGAGAUGUUGGUUAGAGAUUUUGAGUUUGCUAUUCACAAGAAGCAUUGCCUGAUAUAUCUCAGGAGACCUAAGAUGAAGAAUUGUUGACUUGCAUAAAGCUGGAAAGGGAAACAAAAGUAUCUCUAAAAGCCUUGAUGUUCUUCAGUCCACAGAAAGACAAAUGUACGCCUUCUGGAGUGGUCCAGUCAGAGUCCUGACCUCAACCCGAUUGAGAUGCUGUGGCAUAACCUCAAUAGAGCAGUUCACACCAGA